rnacentral:rRNA from 1 species
CCGGCGACCGGCGCACGGGUGAGUAACACGUAUGCAACCUGCCCGUGGCAGGGGGAUAAGCGGGGGAAACCCCGUCUAAUACCGCGUAACGCGGCCUAGGGACAUCCUAAGGCCGCCAAAGGGAGCAAUCCCGGCCACGGAUGGGCAUGCGGCGCAUUAGCUAGUCGGCGGGGUAACGGCCCACCGAGGCGACGAUGCGUAGGGGUUCUGAGAGGAAGGCCCCCACACUGGUACUGAGACACGGACCAGACUCCUACGGAAGGCAGCAG